GGGGAUAUAGCUCAGUUGGUAGAGCGUCUGCCUUACAAGCAGAAUGUCAGGGGUUCGAAUCCCUUUAUCCCCA
rnacentral:tRNA from 1 species